rnacentral:tRNA from 3 species
GCCUUGGUGGUGAAAUGGUAGACACGCGAGACUCAAAAUCUCGUGCUCAAGAGCGUGGAGGUUCGAAUCCUCUUCAAGGCA